CACCCUCACAUCCCUCUCUUUCUCUCACAUACACACACACUCAAAGAAAACACAACCAGUGUUUUCCACUAGUGCCGGCUGUCAGCUAUACAGCCGUUACACGCUCAUUUUAAGCCAGGUACUUUUUCCACUUAAAUUAACUAGGCUAUUUUUUACAAAUCGGAAGUCAGAAAAAGAGUCAGCCGAGCCCUCUCCCGCUAGAAUGAAUUAAAUUAAUUAUAAAGGCUACUUUUUCAAUUCGCAAGUCAGAAAAAAAAGCAGCCGAGCCCUCUCCCACUAGAAUGAACAAUAUGCAUCAUCUAGCGAUCUAUUGAUAGCACAGGUGCCUGUCAAUCACAAAGUGAGCGAUGACAGGGAAACAGCUGGUUUGACAUUCUACUGUCUGUCUUGCUUCCCGGUACUUGAUGGUGUGUGUUGUGUACGCUGUGGUUGCAGUCACAUUUCUUUACACGGAGGGCGAGAACAUUAUGCUCCUUCAUCGUCUGUGAGUGCAUUUGCACGUCCCAUAUAAUGUGGUCAUGAUGAGUCUAAAUCCAUUUAGCCUAUUUUCUGGCACAUUCAUAUCUUUUCUUUUGCAUUUCAUAUGGUGCCACGAAGUGCUGGUGCAUAGGCUUAAUGUGAUCUGAUUGACGAACAGCAAGCUUGACUAGUUUAUAAAUGGUGUCAAACUGACUUAAUAAAGUCGAUCUCAUAUAUCCUUGCCAUUCAUAAAUCAUACAAUGUAGUUAUGUCUAUGUAAACUAAAGACCUCGUUUGUAUUUUUGAUAUGAAGUCCAUCAGGACUUGCCAGACAGUGAUGUUAAAGUGAGUGACUCGUCAGUUGCAUACUGGUAGACUUUUUGGCAAUUAUCUGCAAGAACAAUAGGUAGGCUAGUGGAGCGAUAGCCUCACUCUGGUCCAAAAUAUGAUAAAAGAAAACAGAUUGAAUUGUUGUAAAAGCUAAUGAUACUUAUAUGGUAUUUUCAAAGAUAUUGAUAUAGGUCUACUAAUUUAAUCAAAGUGUUGACAAUGGAUUGGUCAACUGCUGCUUUCUGAUUAAUACAUGCUUCAUUCAUACCUGUAGUGCAGAUAGCUGAGAAAAUGCCUCUUAAAAGGGAGCUUGAAGUCUGUUGAAGUCAGCAGACUCUUACAACAUUCUUUAAAAAUAAAUCUGUGGGUCAGAUGUUAAACAAGUAUAUAUUUUUUGUUGAUAAAUGAAAUGACACUGCAAUUCACAGAGUUGCAAACACGAAUUUAACUGACAUCGUUUUCUCUUAUCUUAACAUGUAUGGACCCAGAACUUAAUUGAGCAUGUAUUCUGUUUAUUUUAGAGACCUAUUUUUCAAUUUGUAAAAGUGCCCAUCACACAAUUUGUUUGAUUUAAAAUGUAACCUUUAAUUUAAAGAAAUCAACAAUUUGGGCUAUGUACUUCAUUUUUCAUUUUUAAUUAAAUACAUAAUUUGAAGAACAAACAUUGUGGCAACUCAUAUCUUGCAGUAAAAUACUUUAAUCUCAAGAGAAGACAGGUUAAAUGUUAAAAAAGGUUUAAUGUUCUCUUACUUAGAAAAUACUCCUGAUCAUAUAGGCCUAGACAAUAUCCCCAAAAACUAACAAUACACUGAAUUCAUGAACUGUAAGUAUUCAAUAAUUUUGCUGUGUAUUUCAGAUGGAGUCAAGGCAUUCGACUGUACCAGAGGCCGCCAAAUUAGAGAUUGUUCGGCUAAAAAAUCUUAACCCGGCCCAGGGGAUCCUGGCUGGCUACUAGGGCGGCAGGUAGCUUAGUGGGCUUCUGGAAGGACAGAGCAGGGCUGGAGGGUGCUGAAGCUGGUGGCUCUACUAUAGCUGGAUGUGUUACUGGGCUGCACUGCCCUCAUCAACUUCCCGCUGGGCUUCAUCCUGGCUCUGUCCUCGCUGCCUUCAUCACACCACACACGCCAAAGGUGCUGUCUGCAGUCAUCAUGGUGCUGCUGAGUCCCGGCUGCGCUCUGCUCUACUGCGUCUUCCAGGCACUGCAGGAGACCCCCGUCUCCCUGCAAAACGGUUGGAUGCUCUUUCUGUCCGUCAUCUCGCAGGGCAUUCUGAACCACGCCCCCUAAGGCUCAUUGGUCUAUCCGCUCCUGGCUCUGCUGAUCUACCCCUGCUGGCUGCUGCUCUGGAACAUCCUCUUCUGGAAGUAAACAACAGGCAACUGGGGGAAGACUGGUCCCAUACCUGCCUUUAUGGGAACUCCAUCUAUCCUGAGGUGUGAAACAGGUCCUAGACCUGUAUUUAUGGAAUGAACUGAGGUAUGCUCAUGUCUGGCCUUUCACCAAGGAUUAGGAUGACUGACUUGCCCGGAAGUAGCAGGGGUAGUGGUUAAGUGCUUUAGGUUGGGCUUGUGUGGAGGAAUUACAACUAAAAGGUUGUAUUGGGUUCAGGCUUGUGUGCAUGGGAUUGUUUUGGUUUAUGGUACCCAAAUAAAUAACCAAGAAACAUCCAAAACAGACAAUAGGCAAGCAGCUUGGUGAGAAGGCAACAACUGUUGGCGCAAUUAUUAGAAAAUGGA